rnacentral:lncRNA from 1 species
UGAGGAGGGAUGGUCUCAUUCCUGGCCAGUGAACGAAUCUGCCUUGCGAUGUUGAGGUUAUUACUAGACCUUGGGCUGGUCCUGACAGCGGGAUCUCAGGAAUGUAAUCUGAGUCGGAAUCGUCGUCUUCAUCCUUCCCGUGUUCGAGUUGUGUUCGGGUGAUGAAACUUUAGUAGACUUCGGCUGCAUUGCGGAGUCCGUAUGGGAACCAUUUUAGAGUCGAAGUCGAUUUGGGAAGUGACUGGAACCGACUAGUCCGAACUGGGGUCGAGUCCGACGCAUAGUUGAACUCGGGGUUGUUGACUUUGAAAUUUUGGUUUUUUCUGGUCGAAUCCUCUUAUUUCUUCUGCUGGAUGUUGAUGAUUUGGCGCUGAAACAAACCAGUGCUGUCGGUGAUGCAGAGCCAGGAUCCAAAAUAAAGGUUGUGCCUGCCUCGAAGGUGAAAACAGGCUUGAAAACAAC